GCGAGGUGAGGUGAUUGUUGAAUGUGUGAUGUGUGGCUAGAUUAGAUUUUAGAAAGUCGAGUUCCUGUCGUCGUUGGACUAUUGACAAAUUACUUUAUAUUGUAUGAUGGAUGGAUGCAUGGAUGCAUGGUGUGUGUGUGUGUGUGAAGUGAUUUGUACACGGCUUUUGAUUUUGUGUGGAAUGUCGUUUAAUGUGUGUGUGUGUUGGGAAGCAUAGCGUGUAUUCAAAUCGACUUGAGGUGAGGUGAGGAAGGAGAAUAUACAUGUAAUGAUGAAUGAAUGAAUUAUGACCUCAACUCAGGCAAGACUACCUGCUGAACUUAAGCAUAUCAGUAAGCAGAGGAAAAGAAAACAACUGUGAUUCCCUUAGUAACUGCGAGUGAAGCGGGAAAAGCCCAUCGUUUAAUCUUCCCGGACCAUGGACGGGACGAAAUGUAACGGUAUGGAUAGGUUCUCUACCAACUAUGUCUGAUCAAAGUCCUCCGGAUUGAGGUGCCAAAGAGGGUGACAGCCCCGUGUGUGAUUGGAUGGCGUUGGGUAUGUGACCGAUUCCGAGAGUCGG
rnacentral:rRNA from 1 species